rnacentral:rRNA from 1 species
UACGUAGGGACCAAGCGUUGUUCGGAUUUACUGGGCGUAAAGGGCGCGUAGGCGGCAUGACAAGUCACUUGUGAAAUCUCUGGGCUUAACCCAGAACGGCCAAGUGAUACUGUCGCGCUAGAGUGCAGAAGGGGCAAUCGGAAUUCUCGGUGUAGCGGUGAAAUGCGUAGAUAUCGAGAGGAACACCAGAGGUGAAGACGGGUUGCUGGGCUGACACUGACGCUGAGGCGCGAAAGCCAGGGGAGCAAACGGG